GCUGCUGAUCUCAUGUCAUAUGUUAGUGGUGUUUGAUUUAAACGUAUAAUUGUGAUUGCCUCGUUGCACCUUACUACUUUUUUUCGUUAAAAACAAAGUAAACAAAAACUUAAUGAUUUUAGCGAACAACCAUACAGUAUGGGAUUUUUUGUAUGGUGCUUACUAUCACUUCAUUGAAAAUCUGUUGUAUUGUGUAUCGUUGAAAAUCCU
rnacentral:lncRNA from 1 species